UACGUAGGGUCCAAGCGUUAUCCGGAAUCACUGGGCGUAAAGCGUGCGUAGGCGGGUAUUUAAGUGAGACGUGAAAUCCUGGGGCUCAACCCUAUGGACUGUAUCUCAUACUGGAUACCUAGAGGACGGCAGAGGCAAGUGGAAUUACUGGUGUAGCAGUGAAAUGCGUAGAUAUCAGUAGGAACACCAAUGGCGAAGGCAGCUUGCUGGGCCGUUUCUGACGCUAAGGCACGAAAGCGUGGGGAGCGAACAGG
rnacentral:rRNA from 1 species